GACGAACGCUGGCGGCGUGCUUAACACAUGCAAGUGGAGCGACGAACCAGGCUUCGGCCUGGGGCAGAGCCGCGAACGGGUGAGUAACACGUGGGUAACGUGCCCCAAUGAUCGGGGACAACCCGGGGAAACCCGGGCUAAUACCGAAUGUGCUCCCCUCGCAUCAGUGAGGGGUGAAAAGGAGCUUCGGCCUCCGCAUUGGGAUCGGCCCGCGGCCCAUUAGCUUGUUGGUGAGGUAAAGGCUCACCAAGGCUUCGAUGGGUAGCUGGUCUGAGAGGACGAUCAGCCACACUGGGACUGAGACACGGCCCAGACACCUACGGGUGGCAG
rnacentral:rRNA from 1 species